AGGGGAAAAUUAAUAAUUUUAUAAUAAUAAAAAUAAUUUUAAUAUUUAAAUUGGGGGGUUUAGUAUUAAUAAAGAAAUAAUUAUAAAAUUUAUAGAAAAUUAGUAUUGUAAAAGAAAUUUUAAAUAAUUGAAAAAAAAAAUUAAUGAAAAGUAAAUUUAUAUUAUUGUAUCUUGUGUAUCAGAGUUUAUUAAAUAUAAUUUUAGUUAAAAAUAUUUCUCAAAUUUAAAAGAGAUAAUUAAUUAAAAAAGUUAUUGUUGCAUAAAUAUUUUUAAUAAUUAAUUUGAAAUGAAAUGUUAAUCGUUUUUAAAUAUAUUUAGUUUUUUUAGAAAAAAAUUUAAUUUUAUUUUUUUUUUAUGACAAAUUAAUUAAUUAAUUUGUCAUAAAAAAAAAAUUAUAUUUUAAGGGAUAAGCUUUAAUUUAAAUAAUUAUAAUUAUUUUUAAAAUUAAUAAGAUUUUUAAAAUUUAUAUUGUUUAUAAUUUUUAAUUUAUUAUAAAUAAUCUAAAAUUAAUAAUAAAAUUUAAAAAUAAUUUAAUUUUUUAUAAAAAAAUAAUUUUUAAUUUAAUAAAAUUAGUUAUAAUGAUAAAAUUAGUAUUAAAUUUUAAAUUAAAUUAUUAUUUAAUUGUAGAAGUAAAUAAAAAGAAUUCGGCAAAAAUUUAUAUUCACUUGUUUAUCAAAAACAUGUCUUUUUGAAAAUAAUUAAAAGUCUAAUCUGCCCACUGAUAAUAAUUAAAGGGCUGCAGUAUAUUGACUGUACAAAGGUAGCAUAAUCAAUAGUCUUUUGAUUGAAGACUUGUAUGAAAGAUUGAAUGAAAUAUAAACUGUUUCUUAUUUAAAAAAAGAAAUUAAUUUUUUGAUUAAAAAGUCAAAAUAAUUUUAAAAGACGAGAAGACCCUAUAGAGUUUUAUAAAUUUAUAAUUAAGAUUAUAUAUAAAUUUAUAAGUUAAAAUUAAAAAAUUUAUUUUGUUGGGGUGAUAAAAAAAUUAAUUAAACUUUUUUUAAAAUUUUACAUAAAUAAAUGAUAAAAUGAUCCAAAAUUUUUGAUUAAAAGAAAAAAUUACCUUAGGGAUAACAGCGUAAUUUUUUCUUUUAGUACAAAUAAGAGAAAAAGUUUGCGACCUCGAUGUUGGAUUAAGAUAAAAUUUAAAUGCAAAAGUUUAAAAAGUUUGAUCUGUUCGAUCAUUAAAAUCUUACAUGAUCUGAGUUCAAACCGGUGUGAGCCAGGUUGGUUUCUAUCUUUAAAUAAUUAAAAUAUUUUAGUACGAAAGGAAUAAAUAUUUAAAUUAAAUUUAUAUUUAAUGAAUGUUAUUAAUUUAUAUUUAAAUUUUAAAUAAAUAUUAUUUUAAA
rnacentral:rRNA from 1 species